GGGAGUAGUUGACCGGCUGGUGCCGGCCGCGGUCUUCAAAACCGUCGGGGGGCGGCCCGUGCCGUCCCCGGUGGGUUCGAUUCCCAUCUACUCCCGCCA
rnacentral:tRNA from 1 species